AAUUUAAUUUAUUUUUUUUUAUUUUGGAAAUGUUUGAAUUGAAAAUUAAUUAGAAGUUUAAUAGAGGUGUGAGUAUUAAACCCUAAAUUAAUUACUAAUUUUUAUAUUAAAAAAUUAUAUAAUAAACAUGUAAAUUCAUUAUCACAUCAAUACUAGGGACUUGAAUCAAAAUUUGAGAACUAAUAAGGUCUUAGUUAAUAAACAGUAAAAACUAGGGACCGGAUACUAAUUUUUCCUAUAUUCAAAUUAUAGACCUAAUUCCUUUUGUACCGAAAUAAGACUAUAGACCUACGUGGACUGACUCCCAUGCAGGCAGGCAGAUUGCAUAUAUUUUAGAUGUGCAGUAGCUGUCGAAGAAUGAGACAAAAAUAAAAACAAAUAAAACUAUUUUUCCAGGAAGCAACCUGGAAAGAGUGGGGAUUGAUUAGUUAAAACCGUUUUUCCGGUUUCCUGGUCUUCCAAACAAGAACCAAACUAAUGACUGACUUGAUAAACUAGGGUUUACUUCUAAUGUCAUCAUGUCUUCACAAGACUCACAAAUGGACGCUUCUAAAAUGAUUCCUUGCUCACCAAAAUGUUAAGACAAAUGUUAAAAAUGGCUGACCUAUGUAAGUAUACGUGCGAUUGUUAAUCGUUUAAUAUACGUAAAUUCCACAUGCAUUUACGACUGAGGAAAAUCUCCUCAUGUGAGUUCUUCGGCUGUUGCAAAUUUCUAAAAGUAAGAAAAUAACACUUAUUUGAAAUAUUUUCCCAAAGACGGUGCAGUUAACCAAAAAAUGUUCUUCACUGUUGUGACAAAUUCUCAAUUACGUAGGUAAGCUUGUCAAUUAUCGAUGAUGAACGGCUAAUUUGGAAUUUGUCAAAGUUAUGCACCUAUAAAUCAAACAAUAAUAAUUAUUGUGUGCAGCUAUAUUUGACUUGCAUGCAUGAUUCACUGAUCAACGACUGAACGAGCGAGAAGAGAAUCCCAGUCUCUCGGUUGCCACCAUUGUUAAACUUCAUUAAUAAUUAAGCUUUACCAAUAUUGGCAAUGGGGUUGAUCAGAUAUGAAAUAUCAUCAGUGCACUAAUGAGUAAGUUAGCUCUCCACGUACGAAUGCAUGUGUUAUAUAUAGUAUGAAUUAGCGAUAAGAUUAAUACUUCAUGAAUUUAAAUAUACGGAUCAUAAACGAAUUAGAUUAAUAAUACUUCAUCUUGUUACCAUUUUCCUUAUGCAUCUGGUACGUGUAUUAAUAUUGCACCAUUAAUCUCAUUCAACUAUAUUCAAUAAUUCUAUAACAAGACUAGUAGAGAGAGACUUACAUCUAUUAACAAUUGAAGAAUAAAGGUUGAGAGUGAAAGGGAGAG
rnacentral:lncRNA from 1 species